GUAGGUGGCAAGCGUUGUCCGGAAUUAUUGGGCGUAAAGCGCGCGCAGGCGGUUCUUUAAGUCUGAUGUGAAAGCCCACGGCUCAACCGUGGAGGGUCAUUGGAAACUGGAGAACUUGAGUACAGAAGAGGACAGCGGAAUUCCACGUGUAGCGGUGAAAUGCGUAGAGAUGUGGAGGAACACCAGUGGCGAAGGCGGCUUUCUGGUCUGUAACUGACGCUGAGGCGCGAAAGCGUGGGGGAGCAAACAGGAUUAGAUACCCUGGUAGUCCACGCCGUAAACGAUGAGUGCUAAGUGUUAGGGGGUUUCCGCCCCUUAGUGCUGCAGCUAACGCAUUAAGCACUCCGCCUGGGAGUACGGCCGCAAGGCUG
rnacentral:rRNA from 1 species